CUGAUGGACAGAGUGGAGCUGGUUGAGACCUUGGGACACUAAGGUGGAGAUUGUUGUGAUCCAGAUGGUGUGCCCAAGGCCCAGGGGACCAAGGCUAAGGCCAAGGUCCAUCAUUCAUGAGGGCUUCAUGGAGGCUCUAGGGCUAGUUGGGCCCUAGGUUGAAAGGCUGUGGGCCUUUCGGAUUCUUGAGGUCUAGGUUAUGUGGGCCUCAAGGGACCAACUCUUUAUGGGCCACGUCUGGACCCAGGAUAGGUGAGAUUAGGUCGAGUCAUGGGUAUACAUGGGCUUGGGUUAACCUAAUCUCCCAUAGAGUUGGUCAAGGGAGUUUUGGGUUUGGGUCACUUGACCCUGUGU
rnacentral:lncRNA from 1 species